rnacentral:rRNA from 1 species
UGAGGAAUUUUUCGCAAUGGGCGAAAGCCUGACGAAGCAAUGCCGCGUGCAGGAAGAAGGCCUGUGGGUCGUAAACUGCUUUUCUUAGAGAAGAAGUCCUGACGGUAUCUGGGGAAUAAGCACCGGCUAACCCUGUG